rnacentral:lncRNA from 1 species
CACAAUUUUCUCCGUAGUAUUUUGAGACAUCAUCAUCUUUUCAAAUAAAAGCAAAAGAUUUUCUUUCUCCCCCUGCAGCCUGGAAACCGUCCUUGCUACAAGUGACACAACGCAAUAACCCAGUUCUCUCUGGGCAGAGACAAGACAUGGACAUAGUGAUAGCCAUGCUUAUUUCUGUAUGUGCAUUACAAAUCAUGAGUGCACACCAGUACCCAGUAUCCCCAGGUCCAGGCCAGCAUGACAAGGUACUUUGAAAGGUCUGUAUUCCGCCACAGGUGUAUUCCACUAAAGCAGGACAGAUUCCACACCAUGUGUGCAUGCUCUGCUCUUCUGGGUCUGUUUGCUGCCUCUCCGACUGCUCUGGUAUCUUCAAUGAGAUCUUAAAACUAUAUGGAAGAUUGAGCUGUGACACCAAUGACCUCAGCGAGCAUGGCCGCCGUGAUGGUGGUCCUAUGGGGAACAUUUGCCAACAACUGAGUGACUCAGGCCUGGCUGCAGAGCCAAGGUCCUCCAAUAGACAUGUGGGCUGGAUGCCAGAGGAGACUUCGCUUAGGGACAUGGCACAUUUCUCAUGGAAUGGAGAGCUGAUUUCAACCAGCCACCUCAGCCCUGCUAACUGCUGACUUCUGACUUUCUCUAAAUGAGAAACGUGAAGGCGUGUUUGUAUGUUUUAGACAGGAGGGACAGUUGUGAGCAUUUUUUCCGUGGCUAACUUGCAACUCAGUCCUUCCUUUGCUUUGGGUUGCUUCAUAUCGAAUGAUGGCUUGAAUGUGCUGGAGCCUUACCUAGGUUAGCGUACAUUUAUUCACACAUAAUGAAAAAGAUCAACGUGAAGGAAAUGAAGGGACACAGUAUGGUCAUUAUACCUUUCAUAAUAAACACUGUGCGGCCAGCGUCU